rnacentral:rRNA from 1 species
AUUGAACGCUGGCGGCAGGCUUAACACAUGCAAGUCGAACGAUGAAACCUAGCUUGCUAGGUGGAUUAGUGGCGGACGGGUGAGUACAACUUAGGAAUCUACCUAUUAGCGGGGGAUAGCUCGGGGAAACUCGAAUUAAUACCGCAUACACCUUACGAGGGAAAGGGGCCUGACCACUAAAUUUAAUUUAUAGUGUAUUUUAUUUACAAUAAUAUAAUUAAGUUAAAUUUAGUGGUCAGGUCUCACUAAUAGAUGAGCCUAAGCAAGAUUAGCUAGUUGGUGGGGUAAAAGCCUACCAAGGCGACGAUCUUUAGCUGGUCUGAGAGGAUGAUCAGCCACACUGGGACUGAGACACGGCCCAGACUCCUACGGGAGGCAGCAGUGGGGAAUAUUGGACAAUGGGGGCAACCCUGAUCCAGCCAUGCCGCGUGUGUGAAGAAGGCCUUUUGGUUGUAAAGCACUUUAAGCAGUGAGGAAAAGCUAUAUGCUAAUACCAUAUAGCCCUGACGUUAACUGCAGAAUAAGCACCGGCUAACUCUGUGCCAGCAGCCGCGGUAAUACAGAGGGUGCAAGCGUUAAUCGGAAUUACUGGGCGUAAAGCGAACGUAGGUGGUCAAUUAAGUCAGAUGUGAAAUCCCUGAGCUCAACUUAGGAACUGCAUCUGAUACUGAUAGACUAGAGUAGGUGAGAGGAGAGUAGAAUUCCAGGUGUAGCGGUGAAAUGCGUAGAUAUCUGGAGGAAUACCGAUGGCGAAGGCAGCUCUCUGGCAUCAUACUGACACUGAGGUUCGAAAGCGUGGGUAGCAAACGGG